GAUGAACGCUAGCGAUAGGCUUAACACAUGCAAGUCGAGGGGCAGCAUGGUCUUAGCUUGCUAAGACUGAUGGCGACCGGCGCACGGGUGCGUAACGCGUAUGCAACUUGCCUCACCGAGGGGGAUAACCCGUCGAAAGACGGACUAAUACCGCGUACACUCCAUCUUGGGCAUCCAAGGUAGAGGAAAUGAAAUUCGCUGUGAGAUAGGCAUGCGUCCCAUUAGCUAGUUGGUGAGGUAACGGCUCACCAAGGCGACGAUGGGUAGGGGAACUGAGAGGUUGAACCCCCACACUGGUACUGAGACACGGACCAGACUCCUACGGGAGGCAGCAGUGAGGAAUAUUGGUCAAUGGGCGAGAGCCUGAACCAGCCAAGUCGCGUGAAGGAUGACUGUCUUAUGGAUUGUAAACUUCUUUUAUACGGGAAUAACAAGAGUCACGUGUGACUCCCUGCAUGUACCGUAUGAAUAAGCAUCGGCUAACUCCGUG
rnacentral:rRNA from 1 species